rnacentral:misc_RNA from 1 species
GAUGAAGAACGUAGCGAAAUGCGAUAAGUAAUGUGAAUUGCAGAAUUCAGUGAAUCAUCGAAUCUUUGAACGCACAUUGCGCCCGUCAGUAUUCUGGCGGGCAUGCCUGUUCGAGCGUCAUUACGCCCCUCAAGUCUCCUGUGGACUUGGUGUUGGGGAUCGGCGAGGCUGGUUUUCCAGCACAGCCGUCCCUUAAAUUAAUUGGCGGUCUCGCCGUGGCCCUCCUCUGCGCAGUAGUAAAACACUCGCAACAGGAGCCCGGCGCGGUCCACUGCCGUAAAACCCCCCAACUUUUUAUAGUUGACCUCGAAUCAGGUAGGACUACCCGCUGAACUUAAGCAUAUCAAUAAGCGGAGGA